AUACACUCCUCAUUCUCUUUCGAUCAUGAGUGGGAGUAGUUCGCAACCGUAUCCUUUCCCUUAUGUCAGCUUUAGAGUUCGAACAGGAUGGUAGGAUCUAUGAAUCAUCCAGUUUUGUGGACCAAGAUAACACGGACAGGUUGACAGAAAAUCAUAGGCCGUCGCCAUUGAGCUUUCCUCAAGAUAGACUAGAACACAUAGACCGGUCUCUGAAGCAACUUGAGGAGGCACUUCGUGGAGGCGUAGACUCCUGCGAUGAAAACAGCAGAAUUCGCCGACAGGGCGAUCGUGAAUCGGAAGGGGCUGAGGGAGUGAAGGCAACGGACCAAUUAACAAGCUAUAUCUGGGGUACAUUAGUGACAACAAAAGAUGUAUUUAAGGCCUUUUGUGGUUUUAUAAAGGGCUUUUGCAAAAUGGAUCGACAGCCCUAUUACUUGCAACGCAUUGAGCAGGCACUUCGAACCGAAUCGACGUUUUUGGAUCUAGAUUGCGAUCAUUUGCGUCAGUUUGAUCUUCGGCUGCAUUCAAACCUCCUGUGCUAUCCACAGGAACUGAUUCCAAUAAUGGAUAUGGUGAUUUCGCAUAUUGGAAAUGCGUUUGUGGCAGAUCCCCUGUCUGAGGAGUGUCACUUACAAGUCCGGCCGUUUCACUUAGACAAGACGUGUUCGAUUUGCGAACUUGACCCAAUGAACAUUGACCAACUCAUAUCGGUCAGAGGAAUGGUCAUACGCUCGAGCCAAAUCAUUCCUGACAUUCGCCGUGCUUUUUUUGAAUGUUCGGAGUGCUCGAAUCAGCUGUGGAGAGAUAUCGAGCGGGGACGCAUUUCUGAGCCGAUACGGUGCUCGAUUUGCAAGGGCCGCCUGACAUUUUCACUGAUUCACAAUCGGUCGCUGUUUGAAGACAAGCAAAUCAUAAGGCUGCAAGAGCUGUCGGAGGUCAUUCCAGACGGUUCAACCCCUCAGAGUGUGCAGCUGAUCGUGCACGACACAUUGGUGGAUUACGUGUGUCCGGGGGACAAGGUGCUGUUGACGGGGAUAUACCGGGCGACCCCGGCUCGACAAUCCGCGUCACAGAGGAGCAUCAAGCAUAUUUACAAGACGUACAUUGACGUCUUGCAUUUUCAGAAGAUUGGAAGGAGAAAUGGAGAAUUGGAAGCAGCGAGUCAGAGCAUGAGUGGCGAACUGCCCAUUUCAGCCCUUCAGACCCUGAGUUCAUUCAACUCGCCGCUGUCUGAAAAAAUCGGCGAUGCGGCCAAUUUAAGCGAUUGCGAUGGCGCGGAUUUGCUGCCUCACGAACAGGAAUUCAUUCGAGUUUCUCGACGCGAGGACAUCUACCAGCUUUUAGUUAAAUCCUUUGCGCCCAACAUUUGGAUGAUGGAAGACGUCAAAAAGGGGAUACUGUGUCAGCUGUUCGGAGGUACAAAUAAGAACUUUGCUGAAGCAUCAACCGGGAAGUUUCGCUCCGAAAUCAACAUUUUACUUUGCGGGGACCCUGGAACGAGCAAGUCUCAAUUGCUCCAAUACGCACACAAUUUGGCCCCGCGUGGCAUCUUCUCGUCCGGGAAGGGCAGCAGCGCGGUAGGAUUGACCGCCUACAUCACCAAGGACCCAGACACGCACGAGGCCGUUUUGGAGAGCGGCGCGCUGACUCUCAGCGACGGCGGCCUUUGUUGCAUCGAUGAAUUUGACAAGAUGAGCGACAGCACUCGGUCGGUUUUGCACGAGGCCAUGGAACAACAAACCGUGAGCGUAGCCAAGUGCGGAAUCGUGGCGACGUUGAACGCUCGAACCUCCAUCCUGGCCAGCGCCAAUCCACGGGAAUCGCGGUACAAUAAGAGGCUGUCGGUGGUAGAAAACAUCCAGCUUCCGCCGACCAUUUUGUCUAGGUUCGACCUGAUAUAUUUGAUUUUGGACCAGCCAGAUCGAGAGCAAGACACCAAGCUGGCAAAACAUAUCGUAUCAUUGUACUUUGAAAAACACAUCAAUGCCUCUAGAGAACGGUGUCAGACUGACGCACACACAAAUGAUAUAGCCGUUACGGCCGCCGCCGACCAAAGCCCUGCCGUCUCCUCUUUGCCAAUUUUACCAUUCAAAUUUCUUUGCCGGUACAUUAGAUAUGCAAAGCUCGUUUCUCAGCCACUGCUUUCGGAUGAGGCCUCCGAGUCGCUCGUCAAAGCCUACGUUGACAUGCGUUCGGAAUAUGCGUCUCACCAUCAUAUCACUGCUACCACUCGACAGCUCGAAUCGCUCAUACGCAUCAGCGAAUCGCUUGCGCGCAUGCGACUUGCUCAAACCGUUGUCAAAGAGGACGUACUGGAGGCCGUUCGAUUGAUGCGCGUGGCUACCUAUCGAGCUGCGAUCGACCCUACUACUGGGCGACUAGACAUGGACCUGCUUUUUACUGGACACGGCGCAAGCUACGAGAAGAAAAUAAAAGAGCUCAUGGUAAGCCUCAUUGAGUUAAUUCGAUCCUAUCCAGCAGACAGCAUUCCUGAAGAAAAUCUGUUUGCCACUCUCCUUCAAGUCAAAAGCCAUCAAAGCAUAUCUCACAAAGAUUUUUUGGAUGCUCUACAUCUUUUGCAAGAAGACUCCCUGAUCGUCAUUUCGGGCGGCUCCGGAAGGCACAAAGUCAUAAGAAGGCUAUGAUAAAUCCAAGUCUCUUCGACAAACAGGGUAACUCGCGCAGGCGACGUCGCAUACGCAGACACCCACGUUUGCCUCGUCCAUUGGCGCCAUUAGAACCGGUCGUGCGUUUGGCAACAGAAAAUGCCCGUUUGCUCUAGAAACACCUGUAAAGUUAUAACAUCAUCGACAAAGCUCUGUAAGUCAAAAAAGUUCUAUUUGUCGCUAAAAAAAUAAGCUGUAACGCGCGAUAAAUAACGCCGUCAACACUUCAAAUGCUCAGCGCUAUGCCCACGUGCUGUGCAUCUCCGGCGACUCUAUCAUCUCGAAGCGGGCCUUUUUAUAAAAAAAAUAACAAUUUGGACACCGAUUUUAUCUCGCUCAUUCAACACCAUUCGUCUGCUCUCUGCCUCGGCGUAUUUUGGCCUACUUCAGAAAGUCGACGGGCUCCUGUCUCGAACCUUCAGACACUUCGGCACCUGAACGCUGAAAUGCAAUCCAGUAAGAGAACGCGGAAAGACUCAGCUGAAAAAGAACUCUAUGUGGAGGUGUGCCUGUUUGACCAAAUUCCCGUCAACUUUGCAUUGGUGGAGGCAGCCGUACGCCAGUACAUAGAACACA